CUUAGAUAGUAGUAGUACAUCACAGAAGUCAGGUGCUUGUGCCUUAUUAUUACUAUGUUGCAACGUAGCAAUAAAUCAUUUUUAUCGAUCUGCCUUGACUCUUGUUGGAUCUGCCAGGCAUUGAAUGAUUCCAGGACUGGCUGUGACCAUCUGUCUGAGAACUGGCUGUUUACACUCGCGGAGCUAAAUAGUUCUCACUACAUGUCAGUUUGUAUAGAGGACAGCUCCAGAAGUCAAGGCCCUGAAGACAGCCCAGCACCAGUAGGAUUGAAAGUAUGGAAGACCGUACCAUUUGUCGAAGAUACACUCGUCUCUGGAACAGAAGCUAUAAAACUUAUUGCCUGACUACCGAAACAUCGUUGUGAAAUACACUUGGUCCAGUACCGAUAGGUUUUGGUCUCUGCCCACUGAAACAUCAUUUUUCCUGUGUGUUGGCUCUCUUCUGUUGGUGGAAACAUUGUUGGUCUGAGCUGCCAUUCAAUGGCUGUUACUACAUUACCAUAUGUGUCUUCAGAGUUUGUUUGCUCACAACAUUUUUUUUAUCAGAGACGAAUCUUGCGAUUUGAAGCUGU